rfam:Aedes albopictus isolate Foshan contig17559, whole genome shotgun sequence.
UAGCCUAGUAGUUAAGGCUAUGGAUCGCCAAUCCGGAGAUGGCGGGUUCGAUUCCCGU